CCUACGGGUGGCAGCAGUGAGGAAUAUUGGUCAAUGGACGAAAGUCUGAACCAGCCAAGUAGCGUGAAGGAUGACGGCCCUAUGGGUUGUAAACUUCUUUUAUAUGGGGAUAAAAUGUUUCACGUGUGGGCUUUUGUAUGUACCUUAUGAAUAAGGACCGGCUAAUGCCGUGCCAGCAGCCGCGGUAAUACGGAGGGUCCGGGCGUUAUCCGGAUUUAUUGGGUUUAAAGGGAGCGUAGGUGGAUUGUUAAGUGAGUUGUGAAAGUCCGUGGCUCAACCUUGAAAGUGCAGUUGAUACUGGCAGGCUUGAGUGUGGUAGAGGGGGGCGGAAUUCGUGGUGUAGCGGUGAAAUGCUUAGAGAUGACGAAGAACACCGAUUGCGAAGGCAGCACACUGGACUGCGACUGACGCUGAGGCGCGAAGGUGUGGGUAUCAAACAGGAUUAGAUACCCGAGUAGUC
rnacentral:rRNA from 1 species